rnacentral:rRNA from 1 species
GACGAACGCUGGCGGCGCGCUUAACACAUGCAAGUCGAACGGAAAGGCCUGCUUUCCCUUGUGGAUUGCGGGUACUCGAGUGGCGAACGGGUGAGUAACACGUGAGUGAUCUGCCCCCAACUUGGGUAUAAGCCUGGGAAACUGGGUCUAAUUCCCGAUAGGACUGCAGGGUGGUGCCUGUGGUGGAAAACGAUUUUCUAGUGGUUGGGGAUGAGCUCGCGGCCUAUCAGCUUGUUGGUGGGGUAAUGGCCUACAAAGGCGGCGACGGGUAGCCGGCCUGGGAGGGUGGACGGCCAAAUUGGGACUGGGACACGGCCCAGACUGCUACGGGAGGCAGCAGUGGGGAAUAAUGGACAAUGGGCGGGAGCCUGAAGCAGCGAGGCCGCGUGGAGGAUGACGGCCUUCGGGUUGUAAGCUCCUUUCGACCGCGAGGAAGCCACCUGGUUGGGAGGGUGGUGACGGUAGUGAUGGAAGAAGCACCGGCUAACUACGUG